GACAGAGGGGCAAGCGUUGCUCGGAAUCACUGGGCGUAAAGGGUGCGUAGGCGGGUCGUUUAAGUCAGGGGUGAAAUCCGUGGAGCUCAACUCCAGAACUGCCUUUGAUACUGGCGAUCUCGAGUCCGGGAGAGGUGAGUGGAACUGCGAGUGUAGAGGUGAAAUUCGUAGAUAUUCGCAAGAACACCAGUGGCGAAGGCGGCUCACUGGCCCGGUACUGACGCUGAGGCGCGAAGGCUAGGGAGCAAACGGG
rnacentral:rRNA from 1 species